GACGAACGCUGGCGGCGUGCUUAACACAUGCAAGUCGAACGGAAAGGCCCUGCUUUUGUGGGGUGCUCGAGUGGCGAACGGGUGAGUAACACGUGAGUAACCUGCCAUUGACUUUGGGAUAACUUCAGGAAACUGGGGCUAAUACCGGAUAGGAGCUCCUGCUGCAUGGUGGGGGUUGGAAAGUUUCGGCGGUUGGGGUUGGACUCGCGGCUUAUCAGCUUGUUGGUGGGGUAGUGGCUUACCAAGGCUUGGACGGGUAGCCGGCCUGAGAGGGGGACCGGCCACAUCGGGACUGGGAUACGGCCCAGACUCCUACGGGAGGCAGAAGUGGGGAAUAUUGUACAAUGGGCGGAAGCCUGAUGCAGCAACGCCGCGUGCGGUAUGACGGCCUUCGGUUUGUAAACCGCUUUCGCCUGUGACGAAGCGUGAGUGACGGUAAUGGGUAAAGAAGCACCGGCUAACUACGUG
rnacentral:rRNA from 1 species